GACUUUGACUCUGGCUCAGGACGAACGCUGGCGGCGUGCCUAACACAUGCAAGUCGAGCGGAGACAGUGAGUAGCUUGCUACGAGCUGUUUUAGCGGCGGACGGGUGAGUAACGCGUGAGCAACCUUUCCCAGACAGGGGAAUAACACACCGAAAGGUGUACUAAUACCGCAUAAGACCACGGGAUCACAUGGUUCUGAGGUAAAAGAUUUAUCGGUUUGGGGUGGGCUCGCGUCCGAUUAGGUAGUUGGUGAGGUAACGGCCCACCAAGCCGACGAUCGGUAGCCGACCUGAGAGGGUGAUCGGCCACAUUGGGACUGGGACACGGCCCAAACUCCUACGGGAGGCAGCAGUGGGGAAUAUUGGGCAAUGGGGGGAACCCUGACCCAGCAACGCCGCGUGGAGGAAGAAGGUUUUCGGAUCGUGAACUCCUGUCCUUGGAGACGAGUAGAAGACGGUAUCCAAGGAGGAAGCCCCGGCUAACUACGUGCCAGCAGCCGCGGUAAUACGUAGGGGGCAAGCGUUGUCUGGAAUAAUUGGGCGUAAAGGGCGCGUAGGCGGCUCGGUAAGUCUGGAGUGAAAGUCCUGCUUUUAAGGUGGGAAUUGCUUUGGAUACUGUCGGGCUUGAGUGCAGGAGAGGUUAGUGGAAUUCCCAGUGUAGCGGUGAAAUGCGUAGAGAUUGGGAGGAACACCAGUGGCGAAGGCGACUAACUGGACUGUAACUGACGCUGAGGCGCGAAAGUGUGGGGAGCAAACAGGAUUAGAUACCCUGGUAGUCCACACUGUAAACGAUGAAUGCUAGGUGUAGGGGGUAUCGACCCCUUCUGUGCCGCAGUUAACACAAUAAGCAUUCCGCCUGGGGAGUACGGCCGCAAGGUUGCAACUCAAAGGAAUUGACGGA
rnacentral:rRNA from 1 species